AAUAGUUCAUGCAUCUCAUAGCAUGAAUCACAGAAAACUUAGCUAACACGAAGUUUAGACAAGCGUUUAAGAAAAACUUGCCUUCAGCGUCUGCUACAGUAAAAAUAACUUUUCUUUUCCGUCUUUACGGUCUCUACAAUACAUAACCACAUAACAUACCUCAUUAGGUCAUGAAUGAACAUACAUGGUUCCUAAUGAAUCUUAC
rnacentral:lncRNA from 1 species